rnacentral:rRNA from 1 species
GAACSGGCUCAUUAUAACAGCUAUAAUUUACUUGACCUUGACAUAUCCUACAUGGAUAACUGUGGUAAUUCUAGAGCUAAUACAUGCACCUAUGUUCUGACCUCACGGAAAGAAUGCACUUAUUAGAACAAAACCAAGCGACUUCGGUCGGCUUUUGUUGACUCAUGAUAACUCAGCUGAUCGCAUGGUCUUGUACCAGCGACGUGUCAUUCAAGUAUCUGCCUUAUCAACUUUCGACGGUAGUGUAGCCGACUACCGUGGUGGUGACGGGUAACGGAGGAUAAGGGUUUGACUCCGGAGAAGGGGCCUGAGAAAUGGCCACUACGUCUAAGGAUGGCAGCAGGCGCGCAAAUUACCCACUCUCAGAACGAGGAGGUAGUGACGAGAAAUAACGAGACCGUUCUCUACGAGGCCGGUCAUCGGAAUGGGUACAAUCUAAACCCUUUAACGAGUAUCUAUGAGAGGGCAAGUCUGGUGCCAGCAGCCGCGGUAAUUCCAGCUCUCAAAAUGCAUAGAAUCAUUGCUGCGGUUAAAAAGCUCGUAGUUGGAUUUGUGCUAUGGACUCGGUCCACUUUCGGGUGCGUACUGUGCUCCUCGGCUUUUCUGCUGGUUUUCUCGUCGUGGCUUUAAUCGGCUGCGGCGGGUGGCUGGUGAUUUUACUUUGAACAAAUCAGAGUGCUCMAAACAAGCGUUUCGCUUGAAUGUUCUUGCAUGGAAUAAUAGAAGAGGAUUUCGGUUCUAUUUUAUUGGUUUUAUAGACCGAUAUAAUGGUUAAGAGAGACAAACGGGGGCAUUUGUAUCGCUGCGUGAGAGGUGAAAUUCUUGGACCGCAGCGAGACRAACUACMGCGAAAGCAUUUGCCAAGAAUGUCUUCAUUAAUCAAGAACGAAAGUCAGAGGUUCGAAGGCGAUCAGAUACCGCCCUAGUUCUGACCGUAAACGAUGCCAACUAGCGAUCUGCCGGCGGAUUUUUUGCCCUGGUAGGGAGCUCCCCGGAAACGAAAGUUUUCCGGUUCCGGGGGAAGUAUGGUUGCAAAGCUGAAACUUAAAGGAAUUGACGGAAGGGCACCACCAGGAGUGGAGCCUGCGGCUUAAUUUGACUCAACACGGGGAAACUCACCCGGCCCGGACACCGUAAGGAUUGACAGAUUGAUAGCUUUUUCAUGAUUUGGUGGAUGGUGGUGCAUGGCCGUUCUUAGUUCGUGGAGCGAUUUGUCUGGUUUAUUCCGAUAACGAGCGAGACUCGAGCCUACUAACUAGUCUACAUAUCAAUG